rnacentral:misc_RNA from 1 species
AUUUUUCACGUUUUGUAUAUCUACCUGUAACACCAAUUUCGCAAAUCUUGUUUAAUUUUUUUCUUUCAAUAAUUAAUUUCAAUUGGGACUCGAAUUUGAGACCUCAUAGUUUUGGAGGCAACUCUAAUACCACAGAGCUAAAUCUCAUUAGUAAAUCUUGUUUAAUUUUAUUGUUGAUAAUAAUCAAGGAUAUAUUUUGAGGA